UACGGGGGGAGCAAGCGUUGUUCGGAUUUACUGGGCGUAAAGGGCGCGUAGGCGGCCAGCACAAGUCAGUUGUGAAAUCUCCGGGCUUAACUCGGAAAGGUCAACUGAUACUGUGCGGCUAGAGUGCAGAAGGGGGCAACUGGAAUUCUCGGUGUAGCGGUGAAAUGCGUAGAUAUCGAGAGGAACACCUGCGGCGAAGGCGGGUCUCUGGGCCGUAACUGACGCUGAGGAGCGAAAGCAUGGGGAGCGAACAGG
rnacentral:rRNA from 1 species